rnacentral:sRNA from 2 species
GCGAGAGAACGUUGCGCCAGCAACGGCCCGCAGGGCGAGCCACGCAGUGGCGAGUCAUCCUCUAUCACCGGCAG